AUUGAACGCUGGCGGCAUGCUUUACACAUGCAAGUCGAACGGUAACAGGCCGCAAGGUGCUGACGAGUGGCGAACGGGUGAGUAAUGCAUCGGAACGUGCCCAGUCGUGGGGGAUAACGCAGCGAAAGCUGCGCUAAUACCGCAUACGAUCUAUGGAUGAAAGCGGGGGACCGUAAGGCCUCGCGCGAUUGGAGCGGCCGAUGUCAGAUUAGGUAGUUGGUGGGGUAAAGGCUCACCAAGCCGACGAUCUGUAGCUGGUCUGCGAGGACGAACAGCCACGCUGGGACGAGGACACGGCGCAGGCUCCUACGGGAGGCAGCAGUGGGGAAUUUUGGACAAUGGGCGCAAGCCUGAUCAAGCAAUGCCGCGUGCAGGAAGAAGGCCUUCGGGUUGUAAACUGCUUUUGUACGGAACGAAACGGUUCUGGUUAAUACCCGGGGCUAAUGACGGUACCGUAAGAAUAAGCACCGGCUAACUACGUGCCAGCCGCCGCGGUAAUAC
rnacentral:rRNA from 1 species